CAAAAUGUAGCUUAACCUAAAGCAUCUCGCUUACACCGAGAACAUGUCUGUUAAAUCCAGAUCAUUUUGA
rnacentral:tRNA from 1 species